UCCAGUUAAUACCAACUCCACGUUAACCACUGGAGUCGAGAAAACACUGUCCUACCCUUGAGCAGUUCAAGACUGAGGCUACAGGCAGACUGGGAGGAAAACAUGAUGACCUGCAUCACAUCAAUAUAGGAAGACAACCUUAUGAACACCUAUGAAACAGGAAUCCUAGACGCAGCCCAUCUGCCGAUGCGCUGGGGACACAUAAGCAUUGCCUUGGCAGAAUACCUGGCAUCUUCCAGGAGGAGGAUGGGUGCAAAUUGGCAAGGACACAAUAUGCAAGGAUGCUUCAGUGAGCAGCUAAGGGCAAUAAGAAAAAAAUCUGUGCCAUAGCUUUCAUACCCCUGGGGACAGCCGUGGGGUUCCAAGCUAGCAGGCCCUAAGCCGGUCACAGGUAUCAUAUCAUGUUUUCAGGACGAGAUAGCUGUGCGUGAGUGUCUGGAGGAAGGACGCUGUGCGGGGAGACCCGUGGAAUCCUUUUGUCUUUGCGCUCCCCUUCCAGGCUGCCCCUGGUCAUUAUGGGAUGAAUCUGAAGCAGAGCACCGCAUCGAUGGGUUUUGGGAAACGUCUGUGGGAGAGCUGCGGUGACGUCACUUCGCACAAUACCCUGACCACUGCUUGAGUGGGUAUUCCCUUUGUCUCAUGGAGCCGUGCAGAGCCGUGACUCGUCUAGUCUCUAGUGCCAGCCAAUGCAGGGACAGAGGAGGCAGUCUGCAGGAGGCUAUGGACCUGGUGAUUUCAGUUGCUA